rnacentral:rRNA from 1 species
UACGUAGGGCGCAAGCGUUGUCCGGAAUUAUUGGGCGUAAAGAGCUCGUAGGCGGCUUGUCACGUCGGGUGUGAAAGCCCGGGGCUUAACCCCGGGUCUGCAUUCGAUACGGGCAGGCUAGAGUGUGGUAGGGGAGAUCGGAAUUCCCGGUGUAGCGGUGAAAUGCGCAGAUAUCGGGAGGAACACCAGUAGCGAAGGCGGCACUCUGGGCCGGUACUGACGCUGAGGAGCGAAAGCGUGGGGAGCAAACAGG